rnacentral:lncRNA from 1 species
GGACAGAGUCUUGCUCUGUCACCCAGGCUGGAGUGCAGUGGCUUUAUCUCCGCUCGCUGCAACCUUCACCUCUCAGGUUGAAGCAAUUCUCAUGCCUCUGCCUUCCAAGAAGCUGGGAUUACAGGUGCCCACAACUGCCAUGCCCAGCUAUUUUUGUAUUUUUAGGAGAGACGAGGUUUCAUCAUGUUGCCCAGGCUGGUCUCGAGCUCCUGGCCUCAAGCAAUAUGCCUGCCUCGGCCUCCCAAAGUGCGGAGAUUACAGGUGUGAACAACUGCACCUGGCCACAAUUUCCCUGCUUUCCCUCUAAGACAUUUACGCACAGAUGAAACUACUACUGGUGGGUCAUGGACUUCAUGGAGAGGGACCCAGAGACACAGUCAGCAGCAGCCCUUGGGUUGGCAUCAGCGUCGGGGCGUCAGGAGUGGGUGCUCACCAGAUCAGGUCCGUGAAGCGCCUGUGCAGGUGCAUGGAGGAGGAGGAGCUGCUGAGCACAGACAGGAUGCACUCCAGGUAGAGAAGCUGCAGCUGCUGGCUGUCACUGCAGAAGAGCAGAACCGACACAAAUGCAGACAAAAGACAAGGCAAAAUUAAAGAGGUGAUGUGUGGAAACACGCUCGGAAAAAUGGUAGGCGUUACUAAAGUGCUAGUUUUAGGGGGACGGUUAGUGUUAUGGGUUGAACUGUGUCUCUCUCCCCAAAUUCAUAGGUUGGAGUCCUAAUCUCCAGCACCUCCGAAUGUGACUUUAUUUGGAGAUAGGUCCUUGCAGAGGUGAUCAAGUCAGACUCAGUUCACUAGGGGGGAUGCUAAUCCAACAUGACUCUGUCCUUAAAGAAAUGGAAAUUUGGACACAGAGACAUUCACUGAGGGAAGACAGUGUGAAGAGACACGGGGAGAAGACAGCCAUCUACAAGGCGCGGAGAGAAGCCUGAGGAGAUCCUUCUCUCUCACCUCUCAGGAGGAACCAACCCCACUGACGCCUUGAUCUUGAAUGUACAGGCUCCAGAACUGUAAUACAAUAAACUCUUGUUUAAGAAGGGAAUGCCACUUAUAUUUGGAUAUACUCUGUCUACCACGCCCUUUGAGGGUGGAAGAAGAAAUGGGGAAAGGCUGAGUCUCCACAAAAGUUAUUACUAUUUGCCAAGAGGAAGGUGAUGGAUGGAGGAAGAGUAAGAAAUGAUGAGCCAUUCUUGAGCCAGGUAAGGACUUCACAUUUCUAGGCUUCUAGUCCUACAAGCUUCCCUAUGCUUUUGACCAAGACGUAGCUCCUGACAUGAAACAGCAUGUUUCUUCACUCUUACGGGACUGGACAGACAUAUAAGCAAGUAGAUAAAGCACUG